GCAGGCCAAGACGCUGCUCCAGAGGUGCCACUUUUCUGAGGACAUGAACAAGGUUUGAACCCACAGCGUCAGACACUGAAGCUCUGGAGCACUCGACAGAGGCUAAGCAAGAUUGAGCCGAGAGCCUGGAGGGAACUACCACCCUGGCACCACCAAAGGCUCCACUGAGUGGCAAGUGGAGACCAGCCUUGACCUCUUGAUUUCCCUCCUUGUCCCCUCAGUGCUGGAUUACAGGUAUAUGUCAUCAUGCUUAACUGGUGCAGUGCUGAGGAUUAAGCCUAAGGCCAAACCCAGGGCCUUGGGCAUGCUAGAGAUUCUACCAACUGCGCUAUAUCCCCAACCCCACAUUGCUGUUUACUGAGACAGUCUUGCUAUGCAGCCAGCCUUGCCUCAAACUCAGGAUCCCCCUGCUUCAGUUCCCCGGGCACUGGGAUUACGGGUGUGAGCCACCACACCAGCCAGCAACAAUAGAGAUCUUAACAGUGUAAAGGACUAAAGAAUAUCCCUUUUU